rnacentral:rRNA from 1 species
UACAGAGGUCCCAAGCGUUGUUCGGAUUUACUGGGCGUAAAGGGUGCGUAGGCGGCGCGGUAAGUCGGGUGUGAAAUCUUGGAGCUUAACUCCGAAACUGCAUUCGAUACUGCCGUGCUUGAGGACUGGAGAGGAGACUGGAAUUUACGGUGUAGCGGUGAAAUGCGUAGAUAUCGUAAGGAAGACCAGUGGCGAAGGCGGGUCUCUGGACAGUUCCUGACGCUGAGGCACGAAGGCCAGGGGAGCAAACGGG